rnacentral:rRNA from 1 species
AGAGUUUGAUCAUGGCUCAGAUUGAACGCUGGCGGCAUGCCUUACACAUGCAAGUCGAACGGUAACGGGCCUUCGGGUGCCGACGAGUGGCGAACGGGUGAGUAAUGUAUCGGAACGUACCUUUCAGUGGGGGAUAACGUAGCGAAAGUUACGCUAAUACCGCAUAUUCUGUGAGCAGGAAAGCAGGGGAUCGCAAGACCUUGCGCUGAUUGAGCGGCCGAUAUCAGAUUAGCUAGUUGGUGAGGUAAAGGCUCACCAAGGCGACGAUCUGUAGCGGGUCUGAGAGGAUGAUCCGCCACACUGGAACUGAGACACGGUCCAGACUCCUACGGGAGGCAGCAGUGGGGAAUUUUGGACAAUGGGGGCAACCCUGAUCCAGCCAUGCCGCGUGAGUGAAGAAGGCCUUCGGGUUGUAAAGCUCUUUCGGCCGGGAAGAAAUCGUAUGGGUUAAUACCCUGUGCGGAUGACGGUACCGGCAUAAGAAGCACCGGCUAACUACGUGCCAGCAGCCGCGGUAAUACGUAGGGUGCGAGCGUUAAUCGGAAUUACUGGGCGUAAAGCGUGCGCAGGCGGUUUUGUAAGACUGGCGUGAAAUCCCCGGGCUCAACCUGGGAACUGCGCUUGUGACUGCAAGGCUAGAGUACGGCAGAGGGGGGUGGAAUUCCACGUGUAGCAGUGAAAUGCGUAGAGAUGUGGAGGAACACCAAUGGCGAAGGCAGCUCCCUGGGUCGAUACUGACGCUCAUGCACGAAAGCGUGGGUAGCAAACAGGAUUAGAUACCCUGGUAGUCCACGCCCUAAACGAUGUCAACUAGGUGUUGGGUGGGUAAAACCAUUUAGUACCGGAGCUAAC